rnacentral:rRNA from 1 species
UACAGAGGGGGCAAGCGUUGUUCGGAAUUACUGGGCGUAAAGGGCGCGUAGGCGGCCUUCUAAGUCGAACGUGAAAUCCCCGGGCUCAACCCGGGAACUGCGUCCGAUACUGGAAGGCUUGAAUCCGGGAGAGGGAUGCGGAAUUCCAGGUGUAGCGGUGAAAUGCGUAGAUAUCUGGAGGAACACCGGUGGCGAAGGCGGCAUCCUGGACCGGCAUUGACGCUGAGGCGCGAAAGCCAGGGGAGCAUACGGG